AUGUAAGAGACAGAGACAAAAAGCAGUGUGUAUGCUUAAUAUUCUACCAAUAAUACAUACGAUUUUUUCCUAAAAAAUCUCAAACUCCGCCAGGAAGAAUCAUUUUGAACAUCAUGAAGCCAUCUAAAAUCUUCCUGCAAUUGUAGCAAAUUUAGGUACGUUAACUGCAGCAAUAUUUGGGCUUGGGACCAGACUCUUGAUUCUGCUGACAAAGUUCAGAUCUCUCCACCUCAUAUAUACUGUCUGUUUCUCCAAGCCACAAGUAACACUUUCCAAGACCAAAUCUCAAUAGCAAUCCCUCUAACUUACUGGUUUAAAAGAAUUUUGGCCCAUAUCAUUGCUUAUGAGGGCUGGAGAAAAUAUGUUACCCGCCAAAAGUCUGGCAACACAUGGCCAUCAGGUAAGCAUCCUAAAGCCUUGACACUUUGAGACUGAGCAAGAACUGAGCUCUAACAACUCUACAGCCAGAAUAAGGACAAUUGCUCAUGAUUAUCCAGAAUAUGGGUGUAAAUAGCUGGUGUUUCCAUUCAGAUGCCAAAUUGAAGUAAAGCCUGAAGAAAGGAGAAUCCAAUUCAGGAUGAAUGCAGCUGUGUUGCUGUGGUUUUCCUCAUUAAGAUAGAAAAGGAAGAUUCCUCUUUUCCUGUUUGAAUACAAAAUAGAAUAUUUCAUUGACAAAAUGAAGGGCUAGAGUCACAAAACUGCUAAAUAAAGUGGCUUUUUUUUUUUUUUUUUAACCUAGCUCCUCAGUGACAAAAACCAUGAUACAGGAAAGAGAGACGAGAUUACAGUUCCUUCCUCUGCCUUUUCACAAGAGUCUUUCAAGCACAAGAGGGAAUGGAGAGAUGAAGAACGUGUCCAGGAAUAAAGACAGAAGUGGGAAAAGUUUUUAAGGACAUUCUCCUAUAUUUCUGCCGCAGUAUUGCACUUUCACACCAGCAAAUAUGAUUCAUCCACUUUAUGUAUUUGUGACUAGAUGUGAAAUUAUCCCUCCUUCUUUUUCUUGUAAUGUUUUUCUUCAUUUCAAUAUCAGAACAACGUAUCAUCAC
ensembl:lncRNA